rnacentral:rRNA from 1 species
GGGUUGUGAGGUUAAGCGACUAAGCGUACACGGUGGAUGCCCUGGCAGUCAGAGGCGAUGAAGGACGUGCUAAUCUGCGAUAAGCGUCGGUAAGGUGAUAUGAACCGUUAUAACCGGCGAUUUCCGAAUGGGGAAACCCAGUGUGUUUCGACACACUAUCAUUAACUGAAUCCAUAGGUUAAUGAGGCGAACCGGGGGAACUGAAACAUCUAAGUACCCCGAGGAAAAGAAAUCAACCGAGAUUCCCCCAGUAGCGGCGAGCGAACGGGGAGGAGCCCAGAGCCUGAAUCAGUGUGUGUGUUAGUGGAAGCGUCUGGAAAGGCGCGCGAUACAGGGUGACAGCCCCGUACACAAAAAUGCACAUACUGUGAGCUCGAUGAGUAGGGCGGGACACGUGGUAUCCUGUCUGAAUAUGGGGGGACCAUCCUCCAAGGCUAAAUACUCCUGACUGACCGAUAGUGAACCAGUACCGUGAGGGAAAGGCGAAAAGAACCCCGGCGAGGGGAGUGAAAAAGAACCUGAAACCGUGUACGUACAAGCAGUGGGAGCCUCUUUUAUGGGGUGACUGCGUACCUUUUGUAUAAUGGGUCAGCGACUUAUAUUCUGUAGCAAGGUUAACCGAAUAGGGGAGCCGAAGGGAAACCGAGUCUUAACUGGGCGUUAAGUUGCAGGGUAUAGACCCGAAACCCGGUGAUCUAGCCAUGGGCAGGUUGAAGGUUGGGUAACACUAACUGGAGGACCGAACCGACUAAUGUUGAAAAAUUAGCGGAUGACUUGUGGCUGGGGGUGAAAGGCCAAUCAAACCGGGAGAUAGCUGGUUCUCCCCGAAAGCUAUUUAGGUAGCGCCUCGUGAAUUCAUCUCCGGGGGUAGAGCACUGUUUCGGCAAGGGGGUCAUCCCGACUUACCAACCCGAUGCAAACUGCGAAUACCGGAGAAUGUUAUCACGGGAGACACACGGCGGGUGCUAACGUCCGUCGUGAAGAGGGAAACAACCCAGACCGCCAGCUAAGGUCCCAAAGUCAUGGUUAAGUGGGAAACGAUGUGGGAAGGCCCAGACAGCCAGGAUGUUGGCUUAGAAGCAGCCAUCAUUUAAAGAAAGCGUAAUAGCUCACUGGUCGAGUCGGCCUGCGCGGAAGAUGUAACGGGGCUAAACCAUGCACCGAAGCUGCGGCAGCGACGCUUAUGCGUUGUUGGGUAGGGGAGCGUUCUGUAAGCCUGCGAAGGUGUGCUGUGAGGCAUGCUGGAGGUAUCAGAAGUGCGAAUGCUGACAUAAGUAACGAUAAAGCGGGUGAAAAGCCCGCUCGCCGGAAGACCAAGGGUUCCUGUCCAACGUUAAUCGGGGCAGGGUGAGUCGACCCCUAAGGCGAGGCCGAAAGGCGUAGUCGAUGGGAAACAGGUUAAUAUUCCUGUACUUGGUGUUACUGCGAAGGGGGGACGGAGAAGGCUAUGUUGGCCGGGCGACGGUUGUCCCGGUUUAAGCGUGUAGGCUGGUUUUCCAGGCAAAUCCGGAAAAUCAAGGCUGAGGCGUGAUGACGAGGCACUACGGUGCUGAAGCAACAAAUGCCCUGCUUCCAGGAAAAGCCUCUAAGCAUCAGGUAACAUCAAAUCGUACCCCAAACCGACACAGGUGGUCAGGUAGAGAAUACCAAGGCGCUUGAGAGAACUCGGGUGAAGGAACUAGGCAAAAUGGUGCCGUAACUUCGGGAGAAGGCACGCUGAUAUGUAGGUGAAGCGACUUGCUCGUGGAGCUGAAAUCAGUCGAAGAUACCAGCUGGCUGCAACUGUUUAUUAAAAACACAGCACUGUGCAAACACGAAAGUGGACGUAUACGGUGUGACGCCUGCCCGGUGCCGGAAGGUUAAUUGAUGGGGUUAGCGGUAACGCGAAGCUCUUGAUCGAAGCCCCGGUAAACGGCGGCCGUAACUAUAACGGUCCUAAGGUAGCGAAAUUCCUUGUCGGGUAAGUUCCGACCUGCACGAAUGGCGUAAUGAUGGCCAGGCUGUCUCCACCCGAGACUCAGUGAAAUUGAACUCGCUGUGAAGAUGCAGUGUACCCGCGGCAAGACGGAAAGACCCCGUGAACCUUUACUAUAGCUUGACACUGAACAUUGAGCCUUGAUGUGUAGGAUAGGUGGGAGGCUUUGAAGUGUGGACGCCAGUCUGCAUGGAGCCGACC